rnacentral:rRNA from 1 species
CCUACGGGAGGCAGCAGUGGGGAAUAUUGCACAAUGGGGGAAACCCUGAUGCAGCGACGCCGCGUGAGUGAAGAAGUAAUUCGUUAUGUAAAGCACUAUCAGCAGGGAAGAAAAUGACAGUACUUGAGUAAGAAGCCCCGGAUAACUACGUGCCAGCAGCCGCGGUAAUACGUAGGGGGCAAGCGUUAGCCGGAUUUACUGGGUGUAAAGGGAGCGUAGACGGCAGUGCAAGUCUGGAGUGAAAGGCGGGGGCUCAACCCCCGGACUGCUCUUGAAACUAGCGGGCUGGAGUGCCGGAGAGGUAGGCGGAAUUCCUAGUGUAGCGGUGAAAUGCGUAGAGAUGAGGAGGAACACCAGUGGCGAAGGCGGCCUACUGGACGGUGACUGACGCUGAGGUUCGAAAGCGUGGGGAGCAAACAGGAUUAGAUACCCCUGUAGUC